UUUUUUUUUUUUUUUUUUUUUUUGCUUUUUUGCUUUUUAGGGCCUCACCCAUGUCUAUUUUAGACAGGACUAUUAUUUGAGUGAUUCCAAAGUGGUCCAACAGGUAUUUAUAGAAGGAACUUUUCCUGUCCACUCUCUCUGAGUGGACAGAGCCUCUGAGCUCCAACUGCGCAGCUGAGGUGACCAGCUGGGUGCAAACCCCAAAGCAGUGACGUCUCAGCUGUAUGACCUUGAGUAAGUUAUUUAACCUCUCCGUUCCUGUCCCCUGGCUGCAACAAAAGGGUUUCAGCUAUUAUCAUUGCUUCACUCUAUGUCGUGUUACCUGCAAUUACAUAAUUAGAGUAACAAGUACAACUGCCACAGAACUGGUUUGGGCACAAACAGCUGACUCUUGAUAAGCAUCCAGCAAAGCUGAUGGAGCGGAAGUCCAAAGCUGUGCCGAGACCAGCCUGUUGGCCAAGGGCAUCUGUCAGUCAGUCAGUGUGUUUUACAGAAGAAAAUGCGAAGCAACAGCUCCGUGAGGCCAGGAGAGGCGAGAAGGACAGGAACUUGCCCGUCAUCUCCAGCCCCGGAGAGGUCAGCCCAGCAGAGUCACGAGCGAGCUCUAGCAGGCCGCCCAGAGGCUGCUAUCCGUGCUACCACUCAGGGCCUGGGCACGGGGGUCCCGAAAAGCUCCCAGCUGAUUCUAAGCCGCAGGGCUGAGGACUGCCGCCUGAGAGUGCAACCCUGGGAGGGCAGGGCCUGCCUCCCUGGCUCACGACUGGAUACAGGGCACCCAGCACAGUUCCUGGUCACCAUGGGCACUCGCCUAUCUUUCCAGGACUGAGUGGCGGCCACCAGGUGUCACACACGGGGGCACGGGCUCCACCCCCGAGUGGCAGAUAAGGACACCCGGAGAGAAGGUGGGCCCUCACACGAAGCUGGCUCCUCGAUGGUGAAAACCACCCAGAAACUGGUUCCAGGAGGUGCCAGCUGGAGCUGCAGUUAAUCAUUCACCCGACACCACAGGAAGUGAGCGGCCGUGCGUGGCGGCUCCAGCACCAGGGCUUCCUGAGAGGUCCUUUCAGUGGACGGGUCAUCGGGACAGAGAGGAGGGGCAGGACACAGUCACAGGGGAGGGGACGGGUGGCCUAGGGCAAGGGCUCCCGGCCCAGCCCCUUGCCCCACCCCCCUCAAGUCUACCUUCUCUCAGCCGGGAUACCUGGGCACCCGCAGCCUGAGAACCCCCCAAACGGCAUCACAAGAGGGCAGAACGCAGCGCAGGGGGUCCACAUGGACAAACUACUAGGGAAACGAGCCUGGCAGGAGGACCUACAGCACAACCCCUGGGACCAGGGUGGCCUGGCCGUGAUCUGCUUGUUCAUCGCCACGAUCCUGUCUCUCACCCUGUUCGCUAUUACGUUUGGUUUACUCCCUGCGCCUGGCAGCGCUAACAAGUGCGAAGAGACGUGACCCGACUUUCCGUGGGCCAGGACGGGGGCCGCUGUCACACUCUCAAAAGGCCAUGUACCUUCUCUUCAAAGCCCUUUGAAUGGUCUGGAAUUACACAUUUUUCACGUGGUUACCUGCUAAGUUCCUGUCUCCCCCGCUGGACCAAACACUGAGAAGAGGGGGGUGGCUCCCUCUGUGCCCCACUGUACCCCCGUGUCUGAUGUGCCAGAUUUGCUGAAUAAAUGAAUGAACAAAUGA